UGUGCCAGCAGCCGCGGUAAUACGUAGGGCGCAAGCGUUAUCCGGAUUUAUUGGGCGUAAAGGGCUCGUAGGCGGCUCGUCGCGUCCGGUGUGAAAGUCCAUCGCUUAACGGUGGAUCUGCGCCGGGUACGGGCGGGCUGGAGUGCGGUAGGGGAGACUGGAAUUCCCGGUGUAACGGUGGAAUGUGUAGAUAUCGGGAAGAACACCGAUGGCGAAGGCAGGUCUCUGGGCCGUCACUGACGCUGAGGAGCGAAAGCGUGGGGAGCGAACAGGA
rnacentral:rRNA from 1 species